GAAUUUGUGAAAUGCAGAAAAUACGCUGAAGAUAUUUACAAUCCUUUUAGUUUAGGGCCACAUACAGACUAAUUCAAUUUCAAGUGGGUCAAAUCAGUAAAAUGCUACAAUAAUAUCCAAUAAAUAC